GAUGAAGAACGCAGCGAAAUGCGAUAAGUAAUGUGAAUUGCAGAAUUCAGUGAAUCAUCGAAUCUUUGAACGCACAUUGCGCCCGCCAGUAUUCUGGCGGGCAUGCCUGUCUGAGCGUCAUUUCAACCCUCAUGCCCCUAGGGCGUGGUGUUGGGGAUCGGCCAAAGCCCGCGAGGGACGGCCGGCCCCUAAAUCUAGUGGCGGACCCGUCGUGGCCUCCUCUGCGAAGUAGUGAUAUUCCGCAUCGGAGAGCGAUGAGCCCCUGCCGUUAAACCCCCAACUUUCCAAGGUUGACCUCAGAUCAGGUAGGAAUACCCGCUGAACUUAAGCAUAUCAAUAAGCGGAGGA
rnacentral:misc_RNA from 1 species